UGAUACUUAAAAAUACAAACUAAGAAAAUUAUCAUAUAAAAGUGAUGUUAUAAGUAUAUAAAUAUGCAACACUAACAUUUGCUUGACUAGAAUAAGAGAAGGCAUCUAUUUAAAACAUCAAUGUUUAUUUGUUUUAGAAGCACUUGAGAUAAUAAGUGAGAAUUGUUUUCAAAAUUAUUAGACCCCAUUUUUUUGCCUUUUAAAUUUUUUUCCCUUCCAUUCUUUUUAUUUCUUAUUAAAUAAGGUAUGGGGGAAGUUAAAAGCUACAAAUACAGAAUG
rnacentral:misc_RNA from 1 species